rnacentral:misc_RNA from 1 species
UUUCCGUAGGUGAACCUGCGGAAGGAUCAUUAUUGUAUAACCGAGGUGCGAGGGCUGUCGCUGACCCGAAAGGUCGUGCACGCCCGAGUGCCCUCACACACAUCCAUCUCACCCCUAUGUGCACCACCGCGUGGGUCCCCCUUUGGCUUGUUCGGAGGGGGGCUUACGUUUUCACACAAACUUUGUAUGCAGUGUAGAAUGUAUUUUUUGUUUUUGCGAUCACGCAAUCAAUACAACUUUCAACAACGGAUCUCUUGGCUCCCGCAUCGAUGAAGAACGAGC